GGAGUUAGCCGGUGCUUCUUCUGUGAGUGAUGUCCUUCCUGCCGGCUAUUAACCCGCAGGCCUUCUUCCUCACUGAAAGUGCUUUACAACCCGAAGGCCUUCUUCACACACGCGGCAUGGCUGGAUCAGGGUUGCCCCCAUUGUCCAAUAUUCCCCACUGCUGCCUCCCGUAGGAGUCUGGGCCGUGUCUCAGUCCCAGUGUGGCUGAUCAUCCUCUCAGACCAGCUACGGAUCGUCGCCUUGGUGAGCCGUUACCUCACCAACCAGCUAAUCCGACAUAGGCUCAUCCGAUAGCGCGAGGCCCGAAGGUCCCCCGCUUUCCCCCGUAGGGCGUAUGCGGUAUUAGCCUGGGUUUCCCCCAGGUUAUCCCCCACUACCGGGCAGAUUCCUAUGCAUUACUCACCCGUCCGCCGCUCGCCACCAGGGAGCAAGCUCCCCGUGCUGCCGCUCGACUUGCAUGUGUAGCUGCCGCCAGCGUCAUCUGAGCGAGAUACAACUACUCGA
rnacentral:rRNA from 1 species